rnacentral:rRNA from 1 species
UAUUGGUCAAUGGACGCAAGUCUGAACCAGCCAUGCCGCGUGGAGGAUUAAGGCCCUCUGGGUUGUAAACUCCUUUUAUCUGGGAAGAAAUGUACUUUUUCUUGAGUACUUGACGGUACCAGAGGAAUAAGCACCGGCUAACUCCGUGCCAGCAGCCGCGGUAAUACGGAGGGUGCAAGCGUUAUCCGGAUUCACUGGGUUUAAAGGGUGCGUAGGUGGGCAGGUAAGUCAGUGGUGAAAUCUCCGGGCUUAACCCGGAAACUGCCGUUGAUACUAUUUGUCUUGAAUAUUGUGGAGGUAAGCGGAAUAUGUCAUGUAGCGGUGAAAUGCUUAGAUAUUACAUAGAACACCAAUUGCGAAGGCAGCUUACUACACAAUCAUUGACGCUGAGGCACGAA